rnacentral:rRNA from 1 species
UGAGCUCGAUGAGUAGGGCGGGACACGUGGUAUCCUGUCUGAAUAUGGGGGGACCAUCCUCCAAGGCUAAAUACUCCUGACUGACCGAUAGUGAACCAGUACCGUGAGGGAAAGGCGAAAAGAACCCCGGCGAGGGGAGUGAAAAAGAACCUGAAACCGUGUACGUACAAGCAGUGGGAGCACAGGUUUACCUGUGUGACUGCGUACCUUUUGUAUAAUGGGUCAGCGACUUAUAUUCUGUAGCAAGGUUAACCGUAUAGGGGAGCCGUAGGGAAACCGAGUCUUAACCGGGCGUUAAGUUGCAGGGUAUAGACCCGAAACCCGGUGAUCUAGCCAUGGGCAGGUUGAAGGUUGGGUAACACUAACUGGAGGACCGAACCGACUAAUGUUGAAAAAUUAGCGGAUGACCUGUGGCUGGGGGUGAAAGGCCAAUCAAACCGGGAGAUAGCUGGUUCUCCCCGAAAGCUAUUUAGGUAGCGCCUCGUGAACUCAUCUCCGGGGGUAGAGCACUGUUUCGGCUAGGGGGCCAUCCCGGCUUACCAACCCGAUGCAAACUGCGAAUACCGGAGAAUGUUAUCACGGGAGACACACGGCGGGUGCUAACGUCCGUCGUGAAGAGGGAAACAACCCAGACCGCCAGCUAAGGUCCCAAAGUCAUGGUUAAGUGGGAAACGAUGUGGGAAGGCCCAGACAGCCAGGAUGUUGGCUUAGAAGCAGCCAUCAUUUAAAGAAAGCGUAAUAGCUCACUGGUCGAGUCGGCCUGCGCGGAAGAUGUAACGGGGCUAAACCAUGCACCGAAGCUGCGGCAGCGACGCUCAGGCGUUGUUGGGUAGGGGAGCGUUCUGUAAGCCUGUGAAGGUGGCCUGUGAGGGUUGCUGGAGGUAUCAGAAGUGCGAAUGCUGACAUAAGUAACGAUAAAGCGGGUGAAAAGCCCGCUCGCCGGAAGACCAAGGGUUCCUGUCCAACGUUAAUCGGGGCAGGGUGAGUCGACCCCUAAGGCGAGGCCGAAAGGCGUAGUCGAUGGGAAACGGGUUAAUAUUCCCGUACUUGGUGUUACUGCGAAGGGGGGACGGAGAAGGCUAUGUUGGCCGGGCGACGGUUGUCCCGGUUUAAGCGUGUAGGUGUGUGUUCCAGGUAAAUCCGGUUCACUUUAACACUGAGGCGUGACGACGAGGCACUACGGUGCUGAAGCAACAAAUGCCCUGCUUCCAGGAAAAGCCUCUAAGCAUCAGGUAACAUCAAAUCGUACCCCAAACCGACACAGGUGGUCAGGUAGAGAAUACCAAGGCGCUUGAGAGAACUCGGGUGAAGGAACUAGGCAAAAUGGUGCCGUAACUUCGGGAGAAGGCACGCUGACACGUAGGUGAAGUGAUUUACUCAUGGAGCUGAAGUCAGUCGAAGAUACCAGCUGGCUGCAACUGUUUAUUAAAAACACAGCACUGUGCAAACACGAAAGUGGACGUAUACGGUGUGACGCCUGCCCGGUGCCGGAAGGUUAAUUGAUGGGGUCAGCGCAAGCGAAGCUCCUGAUCGAAGCCCCGGUAAACGGCGGCCGUAACUAUAACGGUCCUAAGGUAGCGAAAUUCCUUGUCGGGUAAGUUCCGACCUGCACGAAUGGCGUAAUGAUGGCCAGGCUGUCUCCACCCGAGACUCAGUGAAAUUGAACUCGCUGUGAAGAUGCAGUGUACCCGCGGCAAGACGGAAAGACCCCGUGAACCUUUACUAUAGCUUGACACUGAACAUUGAGCCUUGAUGUGUAGGAUAGGUGGGAGGCUUUGAAGCGUGGACGCCAGUCUGCGUGGAGCCGACCUUGAAAUACCACCCUUUAAUGUUUGAUGUUCUAACGUGGACCCGUUACCCGGGUUGCGGACAGUGUCUGGUGGGUAGUUUGACUGGGGCGGUCUCCUCCUAAAGAGUAACGGAGGAGCACGAAGGUUGGCUAAUCCUGGUCGGACAUCAGGAGGUUAGUGCAAUGGCAUAAGCCAGCUUGACUGCGAGCGUGACGGCGCGAGCAGGUGCGAAAGCAGGUCAUAGUGAUCCGGUGGUUCUGAAUGGAAGGGCCAUCGCUCAACGGAUAAAAGGUACUCCGGGGAUAACAGGCUGAUACCGCCCAAGAGUUCAUAUCGACGGCGGUGUUUGGCACCUCGAUGUCGGCUCAUCACAUCCUGGGGCUGAAGUAGGUCCCAAGGGUAUGGCUGUUCGCCAUUUAAAGUGGUACGCGAGCUGGGUUUAGAACGUCGUGAGACAGUUCGGUCCCUAUCUGCCGUGGGCGCUGGAGAACUGAGGGGGGCUGCUCCUAGUACGAGAGGACCGGAGUGGACGCAUCACUGGUGUUCGGGUUGUCAUGCCAAUGGCACUGCCCGGUAGCUAAAUGCGGAAGAGAUAAGUGCUGAAAGCAUCUAAGCACGAAACUUGCCCCGA